GCCCAGGUGGCCGAGGGGUCUUGGCAUCUGUCGUGAAUACAGAGGACGCUGGUUUGAUUCCAGCCCUGGGCA